GGGCGCAUGGUCUAGAGGUAUGAUAUUUGCUUUGCAUCCUGAUCCAUAUUCAGAAAUAUGCUUGCAAAGGGUCCGGGGUUCAAUUCCCCGUGCGUCCA
rnacentral:tRNA from 1 species